rnacentral:rRNA from 1 species
CUACGGGAGGCUGCAGUGGGGAAUAUUGGACAAUGGGGGCAACCCUGAUCCAGCAAUACCGCGUGUGUGAAGAAGGCCCGAGGGUUGUAAAGCACUUUCAGUAGGGAGGAUUGGUUUUACGGUUAAUACCCGUGAAGCUUGACGUUACCUACAGAAGAAGCACCGGCUAACUCAGUGCCAGCAGCCGCGGUAAUACUGAGGGUGCAAGCGUUAAUCGGAAUUACUGGGCGUAAAGCGCGCGUAGGUGGUUAGAUCAGUUGGGUGUGAAAGCCCCGGGCGCAACCUGGGAAUUGCAUCCAAAAAUGGUCGGGCUGGGGUAGGGUGGGGGGAGGGGAAAUUCGGAUGGUGGGGUUGAAUGGGGUAGGGAGGGGGGGGAAAACAAUGGGGAAAGGGGACUUUUGGACCAAAUAUUACCCCUGGGGGCGGAAACCGUGGGAGCAAACAGGAUUAGAUACCCGAGUAGUC